UAUGAGAAAAGAAAAAACUCAAACGUCGCGUUCUUCUCUUCAAUCCUUUUUGUAACUGAAAUUGCUUGCAACGCCUUUGCUAUUCAACUCUCUCGCUCCUGUCGCAGAUGCCUUUCGCCCUUCUAUACAACGCCCUUUCAGAGCCUUCUCCUCUAUUCUAAAUUACCACGAAUAGUUGAUUUUUUUUUUUAUUAGUUGAAGAUUUCAGCCUCAUAGGGCGAAUCGUUUGCGGCAGGAUAAUGGAAGAUUUGGUUAUCAAAAUUCAAAGGCGGAUUAGGGUGAUUUCAGAUUGAAUACAUUCCUACGACCUACGACAACAGCUUACUUCAAUUGGGUUCGGAAAGAUGGUGCGGUGGAAGAUCCAAUCUUACUUCUGAUGUCUAUAUGCCCAGAUCAUCAUAUCAUUGCAACAACUUGUCUUGCUCUUGCUCCCUUCUGAAGUUGCUGAUUUAUCCUUCAGAUAAAGUAAGUUGUGAGGAGCUAGGAGCACAGGGAUAUGAAUUGAAUACCGUCUACCCAACUGAUGCGUUGAUGAUUCUAUACUUCUACAAAAGUUGGCUUGGGACCUGAAAUAUAUGAACCUUUCAGAUUUCUUGAAGAAACAUAUUUGCUAUUCUAGGAGCAUUAAUCUGCACAUUUUCAGUUGAUCUGUACUUUGAUACAGUAAAUUAUGAUACUUAUUAGAUGAAAAUUAUGGGUUUAUAUCUUAUAGUUUUCAAUAAUAGGGUGAGUUGCAUUACUUGUUGGAUGCCACUGCUUCAUUAGGGGUUGUAAGAUUGAAAUAUGAAGCCUGACCUACUGGAUUACUUACAGCUUAAGUGCUCUUGAAUUGAGAUCACAGGUUGCUUUGUCAUUUUAGGAGUACAUUGCCAAAUACUGUUCUCUGAUUCCUAAACUAUUCAUUUAUAUUGCAGAAGAAUCUAAAAUGUCUUAGGAAUAUAUAAAACAUCUACAUACAAUAUGUACAUAUUCUUUAACUGUUAUUUAUUAUUUUAAUAUUC